CCCAGACUCGCCUGGGAACACACACACACAGCCUCGAGUCCUUGUUGAACUCAGAUCCAUCUGGACACACACACAGACUCACCUGAACACACACACACACACACACACGCUCUAAGGUAGCCCGCCUGGGCGUCCAGGAUCAGUCUUGAGUCCAUAUUGGACCCAGACCCACCUGGACACACACACACACACAUACACACUCACACUCACAGAAAUGAGCCCACGAAUCCUGUAGGACAGAUGGACAAGGUGAUGACCAAGGCCACACUCCAGCAGCCACACUCCACUCGGCACUGAUACUGGAUACAGAUAAUCGUGUAACCUUGAUACUGCCACUAUUUACCAAUUCUCCAUUUUCACUUAAAACUGUGGUUAGAGGAGUUCGUGCUUAGUCACUUGAGUCAUGUCCGACUCUUUACGACCCUAUGGACGGUAGCCCACCAGGCUCCGCGGUCCAUGGGAUUCUCCAGGCAAGAAUACUGGAGUGGGUUGCCAUGCCCUCCUCCAGGGGAUCACCACUUACCAUCUCUUCCCUGGAUCCCAGGACUAAAUUUGAGCCCCAGCAAUGAGAGGAGUGAAGACUUUUUUUUUUUUUUCUUUCUAGACUUUGUUAUUCUGGGCUUAAGCAAUGCUACUCUGGGGACCUGGGUGAAAAGACUGGCAGAGAGAUUGAGGGGAGCCAUUUCUGCCCCCACCCCAAAGACCAAUGCACUUUGGUGUUAGAAAGUGAAAGUGAAGUCGUGUGCAACUCUUUGUGAUCCCGUGGACUGUAGCCUACCAGGCUCCUUCAUCCAUGGGAUUUUCCAGGCAAGAAUACUGGAGUGGGUUACCAUUUCCUUCUCCAGGGGAUCUUCCCAACCCAGGGAUCGAACCCAGGUCUCCUGCAUUGCAGGCAGACACUUUACCCUCUGAGCCACCAGGGAAGUUGGUGUUAGAGGCUAAUAUAUAUUUGACUCAAUGCACAGACACUUCGUAUUAUGCAAAAGGGGCCCACCUCAUUUCCUUCUGACCCCUCCCCCACAUCUCCAGCAUUGCAAGUACCACACAGUAGAUGGGAAAAUAUACUCUUCAUCUCUUGAUAAGAUAAUUUUAAUGUGAAAUAAGCAACAGAACCUGGGUGCUAUGUACAGAGCUUGAAGUCUAACUGAAUAACACUAUAAAAUCAACUGAAAUGUUAUCAAAUCAUUCUAGUAAAUUAUUACAAAUAAUUGUCUUUGACCCUAAAUAUCCUGUAUCCUAAAUCCAGGCCACCAUUUGUUUUGUAAGCUAAGAAUGAGAUCUACACACCCUCAGAGCCCUGAGAUGACUCACCAAACAAAGACGCAGUCAGGAGGUUUGGGGGAGGGAGAGGUUAGGUGGAAUUUAAAGGUAAUUGUGUUUUCACAGGCUGAAGGCAAAACAGAGCUGUGUGCCAGGGGUCAACAUUAGGUCUGUGUUGUGGCCCAAGUGUGGAUUGGAAAGGAAUUUCCAGACAUGAGGCAGAAUGGGCUCAAGGGCGAGCCAAACCCUUUUUCGGGCUAGUAGCCAAUUUCUAGAAGGCAAUGGCAACCCACUCCAGUACUCUUGCCUGGAAAAUCCAAUGGACGGAGGAGCCUGGUAGGCUGCAGUCUAUGGGGUUGCUAGGAGUUGGACAUGACUGAGCGACUUCACUUUCACUUUUCGCUUUUAUGCAUUGGAGAAGGAAAUGGCAACCCACUCCAGUAUUCUUGCCUGGAGAAUCCCAGGGACGGGGGAGCCUGGUUGGCUGCCAUCUGUGGGGUCGCACAGAGUCGGACACAACUGAAUCGACUUAGCAGCAGCAGCAGCCAAUUUCUACAGCCUCAAGACAGAAAAUUCCUACUAGAAUGGGGGCAUUAGGUGAUAGGUUAGGAUGCUAUAGGGUGGGUAAUAGGGUGGGUAUUUUACCUAAUACGGGGUCAAGUAACUGGACGGUUUGAUCAGAGGCUCAUGGCAACAGUUGCUAUGGGGCUUGGUCAGUUUCAGAGAUUUUCAUCCUGUGUCCUUGGUACAGGGCUCCACAGUCUGGGCAGCAGAACCAACUGCUGGAUCAGGGUCCUACAAACUUGGAGACUAAAAGUUAUAAGAGAUGUGAAUAGGUGUGUCCAGAAGCGCUUUCCAUGAAGUUCUGCACGUGGGUUGGAAAGUGAGGGUGCUUGUUCAUGUCGAAAUGACUUGGACUGUCCAAGUACAGUGUGAUGUUUCAUUCUUCCUAAUGAUUUAAAACAGCAACAUUUCUGAUAGCGCUUUUCCAGAAGAAGGUUUCUCCAUAUAUAAUAAAGCAGCAGUCACCCUUAGAAGUGGGUUCCUU
ensembl:lncRNA